rnacentral:rRNA from 1 species
GAUGAACGCUGGCGGCGUGCUUAACACAUGCAAGUCGAACGGAAAGGCCAUGCUUUUGUGGGGUGCUCGAGUGGCGAACGGGUGAGUAACACGUGAGUAACCUGCCCUUGACUUUGGGAUAACUUCAGGAAACUGGGGCUAAUACCGGAUAGGAGCUCCUGCUGCAUGGUGGGGGUUGGAAAGUUUCGGCGGUUGGGGAUGGACUCGCGGCUUAUCAGCUUGUUGGUGGGGUAGUGGCUUACCAAGGCUUUGACGGGUAGCCGGCCUGUGAGGGUGACCGGCCACAAUGGGACUAAGAUACGGCCCAGACUCCUACGGUAGGCAGCAGUGGAAAGUAUGACACAGUGGUCGGGAGCCUGAUACAACAACGCCGCGUGCGGAAUGACGUCCUUCGGGUUAUAAACCGCUUUCGCCUUUGACAAGGCGUGAGUGACGGUAAUGAGUAAAGAAGCACCGGCUAACUACGUG